UUAUGCCUACGGGACGCAGCAGUGAGGGAUAUUGGUCAAUGGGGGAAACCCUGAACCAGCAACGCCGCGUGAGGGAAGACGGUUUUCGGAUUGUAAACCUCUGUCCUCUGUGAAGAUAAUGACGGUAGCAGAGGAGGAAGCUCCGGCUAACUACGUGCCAGCAGCCGCGGUAAUACGUAGGGAGCGAGCGUUGUCCGGAUUUACUGGGUGUAAAGGGUGCGUAGACGGGAAAAUAAGUUAGUUGUGAA
rnacentral:rRNA from 1 species